CAUCCCAAGGUCACGUGACCCCCAAGGUCAUCCCAAGGUCACGUGACACCCAAAGUCACGUGACCUUGGGAUGACCUUGGGGGCCACGUGACCUUGGGA
rnacentral:pre_miRNA from 1 species